GCCCCCCCCCCCCCCCCUUUUUCUGCUACUGUAACUGUGGAGAGAAGCUGCUGGAGAUAUCUUAACCACCAACUUGAUUUCCUCUUUUCUUAGAAGGCAUCAAGGGAAAAGUAAUAACACAGUGGAUCCAAGCAGCAGUUCACAGUAGCGAGACAUAUCAUGGGUACUCACUCAGGUGAUGACGCAUGGUCCAGAACACCAUAAAGGUGCAUCCAACAUUGACUGCCAGCAAGAUGAACUCCAACGCGGACUGAACGUAGAUGGUUGAUGUGUUUCCUUUUAUAUCAGAGUAAACAGAUUCAAAACA